rnacentral:rRNA from 1 species
UACGGAGGAUGCGAGCGUUAUCCGGAUUUAUUGGGUUUAAAGGGUGCGCAGGCGGCGAGUUAAGUCAGCGGUAAAAUUUCGGGGCUCAACCCCGACAAGCCGUUGAAACUGGCUUGCUAGAGUGGGCGAGAAGUAUGCGGAAUGCGUGGUGUAGCGGUGAAAUGCAUAGAUAUCACGCAGAACUCCGAUUGCGAAGGCAGCUUACUAAGCCAUAACUGACACUGAAGCACGAAAGCGUGGGGAUCAAACAGG